rnacentral:rRNA from 1 species
GAUGAACGCUGGCGGCGUGCCUAAUACAUGCAAGUCGAGCGAACAGACGAGGAGCUUGCUCCUCUGACGUUAGCGGCGGACGGGUGAGUAACACGUGGAUAACCUACCUAUAAGACUGGGAUAACUUCGGGAAACCGGAGCUAAUACCGGAUAAUAUAUUGAACCGCAUGGUUCAAUAGUGAAAGACGGUUUUGCUGUCACUUAUAGAUGGAUCCGCGCCGCAUUAGCUAGUUGGUAAGGUAACGGCUUACCAAGGCAACGAUGCGUAGCCGACCGGAGAGGGUGAGCGGCCACACUGGAACUGAGAGACGGUCCAGACUCCUACGGGAGGCAGCAGUAGGGAAUCUGCCGCAAUGGGCGAAAGCCUGACGGAGCAACGCCGCGUGAGUGAUGAAGGUCGUCGGAUCGUAAAACUCUGUUAUUAGGGAAGAACAAAUGUGUAAGUAACUAUGCACGUCUUGACGGUACCUAAUCAGAAAGCCACGGCUAACUACGUG